AUUUUCGCCUCCCAUUUGCUACGUGGGCAGACGGCAAUUGGUCGAUCCAUCAUCAUUCGGCAACUGCAACCAAUCAGAGAUGCCUCGUCCAGAACCACUGGGGAAGUGUCGCCCUCUGGAUAAACUACUUCUGAUACAUUACCGGGCUACAAUUUGAGUGUCAUUUACACUGGAAAUAAUUAUAUUAGUGGCUUUGACUUGCAUUUCUGACCGAUUAUUCGCUGUAAUAUUUUCUGGUCUUUCUUGUAAAGUUAUAACCUUUUCACAAUUACUUAAUUUCAUUAGUAGAGUUAAUCUGAACUUCCAUUUGUGAUAGUCUUUGCCGUCAAAAACCAGCACUUUUGCUUUGAACAUUGCCAUGAUUUAAUAAAAUUAUUUAGGAGAAAACAUUGCCAUGAUUUAAUAAAAUUAUUUAGGAGAAAACGUCAAGAAUUAAUGCUCACACAAACCAGAUAGGUAUGCAAUGGAGAGAGAAAAAUUGCUACCUACUUAUAUCACUACUUUAUGAGGUAAUUGGGAUAUGCUUAGUCAUUAAGUAUUGUUCAUAAUAAAUGAAGUUUUGUACCUUCAUAA